rnacentral:rRNA from 1 species
GGACGAACGCUGGCGGCGUGCCUAAUACAUGCAAGUAGAACGCUGAAGGAGGAGCUUGCUCUUCUGGAUGAGUUGCGAACGGGUGAGUAACGCGUAGGUAACCUGCCUGGUAGCGGGGGAUAACUAUUGGAAACGAUAGCUAAUACCGCAUAAGAGUAGAUGUUGCAUGACAUUUACUUAAAAGGUGCAAUUGCAUCACUACCAGAUGGACCUGCGUUGUAUUAGCUAGUUGGUGGGGUAACGGCUUACCAAGGCGACGAUACAUAGCCGACCUGAGAGGGUGAUCGGCCACACUGGGACUGAGACACGGCCCAGACUCCUACGGGAGGCAGCAGUAGGGAAUCUUCGGCAAUGGACGGAAGUCUGACCGCGCAACGCCGCGUGAGUGAAGAAGGUUUUCGGAUCGUAAAGCUCUGUUGUAAGAGAAGAACGAGUGUGAGAGUGGAAAGUUCACACUGUGACGGUAUCUUACCAGAAAGGGACGGCUAACUACGUG